rnacentral:lncRNA from 10 species
CUGCGGCACGUUUGCGGCCGACCCGGAUUACGUCUAUCGGUGAUGUAAGGGGGCGUGGCGCGGCUCCUGACUUCCCUUGGGCAGGCCUAGGGCGAGGGGAAUUGAGACUUCAGCAGCCUCCCGGGUUCCUGGCCCGGCCAUCUUGGGCUUCCCGAGUGGAAGGAGUCAACCUGUCACAGCUUCACUGCAACACUAGGGCUGUUUCAUGGUUUUCUGUUUCCAUUUCUCACUUCUACCUACGUUUGAAGCAGGUCAAUUUACUGCAUUCCUUUGCUUGGUAAAAUCACGAAUCAAGGUAAAUCUUAAAAGCUGUAGUGCUGCGUCAGAUUUGCUGCACCAGCCUUGUUUAAGAUAACGGGCGAAGGAGAAACCAGUUGUCUGCAGUGAAGCCAGAGGACUUCUUGUUGCAGCGUUUUCUCUGUGUUCUCAUUUCCUCUUCACGUUUCUUCCCACCCCAGCCAUCACCUGUCCCAAAGUGCAGGCUGGUAUGAUGCCAGUAUUACCGGUUUUGUUUUGGCUUUUUCGAGGCAGGGUCUCACUCUGUUGCCCAGGCUGGAGUGCAGUAGCGCGGCUCACUGCAGCCUUGACCUCCCAGGCACAGGUGACCUCCUUGCCUUAGCUUCCUUAGUAGUUGGGACAACGGGCACACACUACCACACCCGGCUAAUUUUUCUGUUUUUUGUAGAGAUGGGGUCUCGCUCUUGCCCAGGCUUGUCUCCUGGCUGGGAUCAAGCGAUCCUUUCGUCUCAGCCUCCCAAAGUGCUGGGACUACAGGCAUGAGCUACUGCCCUUGUCAGGAUUUUAGAACCUAUUUAAAAAUAAAUGGUCAGUAGAAACAGAUGUUGAUUCAAAAUCCUGACAUUAUUUCCUUCUUAAGGUUUAUGGAAAUUAUUUCAUUUUGGCAAGGCAUUGGCCACCAUUGAAAAGAAUCAGUGUGUUUUCUUUGGACCAUUAUAAGGAUAUACAAAGUGCAUGAGCUAAGUUUUUAGUGCACCUACAGGAGUGCACGUUAAUAAUGUAUGUUAUCAAACAAAGGCCACCAUGGCAUAGAAUUCUUCCCUGAGUAAAAUAUUUUUUUUUUUUUUGAGAGGGAGUCUCACUCUGUCUGUCGCCCAGGCUGGGGCAGAAUGGCGUGAACCCGGUAGGCG